rnacentral:misc_RNA from 1 species
UGUGUCAAGAUGCUGCAGGGGUCAGUGCCUUAUUGUUAUGUUAAUGCCAUUUUGCAGUGCACAGCUUUCAUUUUACAAGUUUUCAAUGCACAGAAGUACCACAUUGAGUGGUACUCGUCGAUGUUUACCGCCGCCAUGUCCGCAUUCAAUGUUGUCGGCCACCGAAGUCAGAAGUUGCAAGUUGGAUGGAUCUUGGUUGCUUUAGGUCAAUGUUCUCCGGUAAGUCCGAUGCGGUCCGUCCUCCUCAUUCUAUGAUCUUUUCUGCGGCAUUCUGUCCAACUUUAAUCAGGACAUCGAGGUGUUCACUGUAAUAAAGUCAUCGAUCCUCUGUGUCUUUUAUAUACGAGGUGCACGCAUUGGAGAGUGCUAGCAAAGACUGGUGGAAAGGGCGUUUGCAAAAAUGGCUUUUGUGGAUCUCCUAGUUACUUUAAUGUAAUAAAGGCGUUGAGUGGUCUGUUCCAUACGGCGCCCGAAAUAUCCAUGCUUGACAAAGUCAACAAUGCUGCUGUGGGCAAAGAUGAACUUCAAGGUACAGACUCGCGACCUCAAAACAGAGACGACGGUGAUAUAUGUUGUGCAACGCAUAUCGAACAUGUGAACAUGACAACAAUGAAGAACAUCGAUGGUGCAAAUAUGACAAUAUUCCAUUACUGGUAUGCUCCCGAGCCUACCACCCAGUACAUACCACAUGCAUCUUGUGUAAGGACCGGAAGUUGUCCUGGUAAAUGUGAGAUUGAAUAUAAAACAUUGGUAUUGCUGGCUUAUAACGCAACCACUCCGGUGAAAUUUGACUUUUUUAGUGUUCCAGGUUAUUGUUCUUGCAAGAAUACCUGGAAUAAAUGAAGAGGACGUGCGACUUUUGAUAUGAGGUACUUACAAAUGGCGGAUCAGUAUUUGCUGUAAAGUCGGCGAUACUGACCUUGUUUGGAAGAGUAAACACUGGCGGAAAUUGAAUAUAUGUGCAAGAAAGAAGAUAAGCUGACAUUCUGCUAUGGACUAACGGUCUAUGUUUAGAGAAACUGUUUACGUAAACCUUUCUUGUAGUUCCGCAGUAGCAUUGAUAACUAGUUAUAUGUUAAAACGUUUUUUCCUUGAUAUACCAAUAAAUACUGUUUAAAGUUUGUUAGUAAUUAUCAACACAAGGAUCUAGCCCUUCCGCAAAUGACAGAAAAGACAUUCAUUAAAACGCCCACAUAGACGGCUGUUGAUAAUAUCUGUACAAUUGUUUGAUAGACAGAAUGCAGAUAUAGAUAAAAAAUAUGUCUAAUAGGAUUACCAUUAACUGUUUUGUUGAUGUAUAUUUAUGUAUUUAUUUGUUCAUAUAUUUAUUUGAAUCUAUACUGUUGUUUCCUCUAAUACAUUAUUUAGAUA